CCUACGGGGGGCAGCAGUGGGGAAUAUUGGGCAAUGGGCGCAAGCCUGACCCAGCAACGCCGCGUGAAGGAAGAAGGCUUUCGGGUUGUAAACUUCUUUUCUGAGGGACGAAGAAAGUGACGGUACCGCAGGAAUAAGCCACGGCUAACUACGUGCCGGAAGCCGCGGUAAUACGUAGGUGGCAAGCGUUAUCCGGAUUUAUUGGGUGUAAAGGGCGUGGAGGCGGGAAAGCAAGGCAGAUGUGAAAACUCAGGGCUCAACCCUGAGCCUGCAUUUGAAACUGUUUUUCUUGAGUGCUGGAGCGGCCAUCGCAAUUCCGUGUGUAGCGGUGAAAUGCGUAGAUAUACGGAGGAACACCAGUGGCGACGGCGGAUUGCUGGACAGUAACUGACGCUGAGGCGCGAACGCGUGGGGAGCAAACAGGAUUAGAUACCCGUGUAGUC
rnacentral:rRNA from 1 species